CUACGGGGGGCUGCAGUGGGGAAUAUUGCACAAUGGGGGAAACCCUGAUGCAGCGACGCCGCGUGAAGGAUGAAGGUCUUCGGAUCGUAAACUUCUAUCAGCAGGGAAGAAACAAAUGACGGUACCUGACUAAGAAGCUCCGGCUAACUACGUGCCAGCAGCCGCGGUAAUACGUAGGGAGCGAGCGUUAUCCGGAUUUACUGGGUGUAAAGGGUGCGUAGGCGGCCUGGUAAGUUAGAAGUGAAAUUUUGGGGCUCAACCCCAGAGCUGCUUCUAAAACUGCUGGGCUAGAGUGCAGGAGAGGAAAGCGGAACUCCACGUGUAGCGGUGAAAUGCGUAGAGAUGUGGAGGAACACCAGUAGCGAAGGCGGCUUUCUGGACUGUAACUGACGCUGAGGCACGAAAGCGUGGGGAGCAAACAGGAUUAGAUACCCUCGUAGUC
rnacentral:rRNA from 1 species